rnacentral:rRNA from 1 species
GGCCGCAGUAUUUUAACUGUGCAAAGGUAGCAUAAUCAUUAGUCUUUUAAUUGAAGGCUGGAAUGAAUGGUUGGAUGAAAUAUUAACUGUUUCAUAAAAAUUUUUAAUAAAAUUUUAUUUUUUAGUUAAAAAGCUAAAAUUUAUUUAAAAGACGAGAAGACCCUAUAAAUCUUUAUAUUUAAUUUAUUAUUAAUUAUUAGAAAUUUUUAUUUAUAAUAAAUAAAAAUAUUUUAUUGGGGUGAUAUUAAAAUUUAAUAAACUUUUAUUUUAUUUAUACAUUAAUUUAUGAUUAAUUGAUCCGUUAUUAACGAUUAAAAAUUUAAGUUACUUUAGGGAUAACAGCGUAAUUUUUUUGGAGAGUUCAUAUCGAUAAAAAAGAUUGCGACCUCGAUGUUGGAUU